rnacentral:rRNA from 1 species
UACGUAGGGGGCAAGCGUUGUCCGGAUUUAUUGGGCGUAAAGAGCGUGUAGGCGGCCUGACAAGUCUGCUGUGAAAACUCGAGGCUCAACCUCGAGACGUCGGUUGAAACCACCUGGCUAGAGUCCGGAAGAGGAGAGUGGAAUUCCUGGUGUAGCGGUGAAAUGCGCAGAUAUCAGGAAGAACACCCGUGGCGAAGGCGGUUCUCUGGGCAUGUCCUGACGCUGAGGAGCGAAAGUGUGGGGAGCGAACAGG